GGAUGCGCGUGAUAUACAUGCAGUCGAGCGAAUCGAUGGGAGCUUGCUCCCUGAGAUUAGCGGCGGACGGGUGAGUAACACGUGGGCAACCUGCCUAUAAGACUGGGAUAACUUCGGGAAACCGGAGCUAAUACCGGAUACGUUCUUUUCUCGCAUGAGAGAAGAUGGAAAGACGGUUUCGGCUGUCACUUAUAGAUGGGCCCGCGGCGCAUUAGCUAGUUGGUGAGGUAAUGGCUCACCAAGGCGACGAUGCGUAGCCGACCUGAGAGGGUGAUCGGCCACACUGGGACUGAAACACGGCCCAAACUCCUACGGGAGGCAGCAGUAGGGAAUCUUCCGCAAUGGACGAAAGUCUGACGGAGCAACGCCGCGUGAACGAAGAAGGCCUUCGGGUCGUAAAGUUCUGUUGUUAGGGAAGAACAAGUACCAGAGUAACUGCUGGUACCUUGACGGUACCUAACCAGAAAGCCACGGCUAACUACGUGCCAGCAGCCGCGGUAAUACGUAGGUGGCAAGCGUUGUCCGGAAUUAUUGGGCGUAAAGCGCGCGCAGGUGGUUCCUUAAGUCUGAUGUGAAAGCCCACGGCUCAACCGUGGAGGGUCAUUGGAAACUGGGGAACUUGAGUGCAGAAGAGGAAAGUGGAAUUCCAAGUGUAGCGGUGAAAUGCGUAGAGAUUUGGAGGAACACCAGUGGCGAAGGCGACUUUCUGGUCUGUAACUGACACUGAGGCGCGAAAGCGUGGGGAGCAAACAGGAUUAGAUACCCUGGUAGUCCACGCCGUAAACGAUGAGUGCUAAGUGUUAGAGGGUUUCCGCCCUUUAGUGCUGCAGCUAACGCAUUAAGCACUCCGCCUGGGGAGUACGGCCGCAAGGCUGAAACUCAAAGGAAUUGACGGGGGCCCGCACAAGCGGUGGAGCAUGUGGUUUAAUUCGAAGCAACGCGAAGAACCUUACCAGGUCUUGACAUCCUCUGACAACCCUAGAGAUAGGGCGUUCCCCUUCGGGGGACAGAGUGACAGGUGGUGCAUGGUUGUCGUCAGCUCGUGUCGUGAGAUGUUGGGUUAAGUCCCGCAACGAGCGCAACCCUUGAUCUUAGUUGCCAGCAUUCAGUUGGGCACUCUAAGGUGACUGCCGGUGACAAACCGGAGGAAGGUGGGGAUGACGUCAAAUCAUCAUGCCCCUUAUGACCUGGGCUACACACGUGCUACAAUGGAUGGUACAAAGGGCUGCAAACCUGCGAAGGUAAGCGAAUCCCAUAAAGCCAUUCUCAGUUCGGAUUGUAGGCUGCAACUCGCCUACAUGAAGCCGGAAUCGCUAGUAAUCGCGGAUCAGCAUGUCGCAUA
rnacentral:rRNA from 2 species